rnacentral:rRNA from 1 species
UGGGGAAUCAUGGUCAAUGGGCGAAAGCCUGAACCUGCGACGCCGCGUGAGUGAUGAAGGUCGUAAGAUCGUAAAACUCUUUUCAGGGAUCUUAAAGCCUGUCUGUCAACAACAGGCAGGUCUGACUCUCCCUGGAAGAAGCACCAGCCAACUACGUGCCAGCAGCUGCGGUAAUAAGUAGGGGGCGAGCGUUAUUCGGAAUUACUGGGUGUAAAGGGUAUGUAGGCGGCCCUUCAAGUCGCGUGUCAAAGUCCAGUGCUCAACGCUGGGUGUGCACGCGAUACUGACGGGCUUGAGGGCUGGUGAGGUGAGCGGAAUUCCCGGUGUAGUGGUAGAAUACGUAGAGAUCGGGAGGAACACCGGCUGCGCAGGCGGCUCACUAGACAGUUUCUGACGCUAAGAUACGAAAGCGUGGGGAGCAAACA